UGCCAGCAGCCGCGGUAAUACGUAGGGUGCAAGCGUUAAUCGGAAUUACUGGGCGUAAAGCGUGCGCAGGCGGUUUGCUAAGACAGUUGUGAAAUCCCCGGGCUCAACCUGGGAACUGCAAUUGUGACUGGUAGACUAGAGUUUGGCAGAGGGGGGUGGAAUUCCUGGUGUAGCAGUGAAAUGCGUAGAUAUCAGGAGGAACACCGAUGGCGAAGGCAGCCCCCUGGGCCAUGACUGACGCUCAUGUACGAAAGCGUGGGGAGCAAACAGGAUUAGAUA
rnacentral:rRNA from 1 species